rnacentral:rRNA from 1 species
UAGGGAAUCUUCGGCAAUGGACGAAAGUCUGACCGAGCGACGCCGCGUGAGUGAAGAAGGUUUUCGGAUCGUAAAACUCUGUUGUUAGAGAAGAACAAGGACGUUAGUAACUGAACGUCCCCUGACGGUAUCUAACCAGAAAGCCACGGCUAACUACGUGCCAGCAGCCGCGGUAAUACGUAGGUGGCAAGCGUUGUCCGGAUUUAUUGGGCGUAAAGCGAGCGCAGGCGGUUUCUUAAGUCUGAUGUGAAAGCCCCCGGCUCAACCGGGGAGGGUCAUUGGAAACUGGGAGACGUGAGUGAAGAAGAGGAGAGUGGAAUUCCAUGUGUAGCGGUGAAAUGCGUAGAUAUAUGGAGGAACACCAGUGGCGAAGGCGGCUCUCUGGUCUGUAACUGACGCUGAGGCUCGAAAGCGUGGGGAGCAAACAGG